UGCGAGGUCUUGAGCUAACUGAUACUAAUUGCCCGUGAGGCUUAACCAUACAACACCCAAGUAGUU
rnacentral:rRNA from 1 species